GACGAACGCUGGCGGCGUGCUUAAUACAUGCAAGUCAACUGAACUUAAGGUAGCAAUAUUUUAAGGGAGGUGGCGCACGGGUGAGUAACACGUAGGUAAUCUGCCUUUAGGUCUGACAUAAUUCCGCGAAAGCGGGACUAAUAUCAGAUGAUGCAGCGGCUUGACAUCGAGACAGUUGUUAAACCUUCGGGGCCUAAAGAUGAGCCUGCGUCUGAUUAGGUAGUGGCGGAGUAAAAGCCCACCAAGCCUGCGAUCAGUAGCUGGUCUGAGAGGAUGAUCAGCCACACUGGAACUGAGACACGGUCCAGACUCCUACGGGAGGCAGCAGUAAGGAAUAUUGCUCAAU
rnacentral:rRNA from 1 species